CCCCCGUAAGCAAUUAACCCUUCGCAAGCUGAGUCACUGGACUUUCGAUAAUACAGGAUUAGACCAUUUAGCUGAAGCAACUCAAGUCUGUAAAUAUGCAUGGGUUUCUGGAGCCUUUGGCAAUGCCUUAUAUGGAUUUCCUGAAUCAUCAGCAGAACACAGAGAGUCUGGCUCUCCCCACCACCCUGCUGCUGGUGUGUAGCUGUAUCAGAGACAUUGCCUGGGAAGACCACGUGGGACCAGCUGUGUCUGAAACUCUGCUGAUUCUCAGGAACAAGGCCCUGAGCUGCACGUCUAGUUUCUCAGCUUGUCCGUUGGGAUGGAGCACCCUGUAGCAGUUAGUCAACCUGUGCAGAAAUGGAUAGCCGAAGAACUGCUUUCAAGCUACACAGCAGGAUAAAGAGGUAACCUGAUUCUUCUGCUUGAGUGGCUUCACGAAGCAGCGAACACUUUUCCUGUCCAUUGUUGAACCCCUCAUGCCUAACCCAGUGCCUAGAACACAGGCUCGUCAUAGAUGUGUGGAAUGAAUGGAUGACAGAAAACAACGAAGAGCCAGUUGUCGGUGGAGGAUCCCAAAGGAGCAGUUCCGCCUUCAUGUUGAAGACUUUCUUUGCCCUGCAUGUUGUAACCACAUAAAGCUAGCUGGGAGCCACGUGGCUGCCCUCAUUGUUGCUCCUUGGCAAUGUUCUCUCUGUGCCAGGCAUCAAACAUGAGCCCCUCAGUGGGAUCCCUGCCCUGUGUGCGCCCCAAUACCUGGACACUUCCUGGAUGCUCCAAGAGGAUGGAGAUUUGCCCCUCCCGACUUUCCCAUGAUUAAUGUUUGUCCGUAGCCUUGUCACAACCAACCUUGGGAGUGUUGCUGGGUUCUGGUGGGGGUCCCUCCUGAGAGAGGCCUUUCUAUUCUGUGAGGUGAAUUGAAGGCUGUCAAACCUUUCGCUCAAACUGGUCUCAUCUGCAUCAAGUCGUAAAGAAAUUCCUUGAAAUGUCUGGUAUGUGGGUGGAAUCCUUUUUCAGUUUUGAAGAAUGACAGAUUUUCCCCUAUCAUUAUUUUCCUUUGGCUGUGUCAAUGGGAGUUUGGAAGAGAGACAGGAUGGGAAGUUCAAUGUGAGGAUUUGAAUGCCUGUCACAGAAUAGAAGUCUGUCCUUGUACUUUUCCUAGUCUCUUUAGACAAAGUCCCCUCCACCUUAUAGCCCUAUGUAUGUAUAGCCCUAUGUAUGUAUGUAUGUAUAACUGCCCCCUUCUCAUCACCAAGCCCUCCCGUUUGGAGAUACAAGAACAGUUUCUCUUCUAUCAGCUCCCUGCUCCCUUCCUGGGCUCCCUAUUAAACAUAUUUUGGAUAUCCUGGCUUUGUUUUUCUCUGUCUCAUAUCUUAUGUCUCAUAAUUUUUUUUCCUUUUCCUCUGAGCUUGGGGAGAAUUUCUUUCAUCUCCAAGUCUUAGAGACUCUGACCAGUCUUUGUAGCUGCUUAGAUCACCAGUGGAACCAUCAACCUUCAAACUUUUACUGGGCUUUACACCCAUCCUGUGAUCUCUCUCAGGAAGGAAGGAGUCAAGCUUAAUACACAAUAUCAACAUGCAUUCCCAAGGCAGACCUGAGAGCUGGGGGAUGGAAGAUGUUAAGCAGACGGUCAGACCGUCUUUGGACAACACUGUCCGUGAAAAUUACCCAGGUAGCUGAGGACAAAGAAAAUGCCUCUAUGGCUUCUUGCCCCACCCAUUAUGCUGGUGAUGAAAACCAUGAAAAUGGAUUCAGCAUAAGGUUUCCUAUUUUUCUUUGGCUAGAGAUAAGGAAUACACUAAUAGCUGAGGCCUCAGCGGGGGCGGAUCCUUGGACAAUACCUUACUUUGGAUUAAAUUUCUUUUCCUAAAUCCCUUAACACAUUAAAAUCUCCUCACUCUGCCUAAACACAGUUCUCCAGAGCCCUUUAUAAAACCUCUCUCUCUUUCUCUCUCACACACAGAUGACAUCUGACCUUUGCCAUCCUACUGUGCCAGGCACCCUUUACUAUUUUCCCUUUGGGUCCCCGUCUGCCAGUGCCACUGAGGAAGGCCCUGCAGCCACCUGAAGUCAACUCUGGUCAUUGCUCUCCAAG
rnacentral:lncRNA from 1 species